ACUGGGGAAGAGGCCUUGUGCCCAUUACAAGCUGCAGCUGCUGUUUCCUGGGCGGUGGAGCCAGGACAUGUGUAACAGCCAAAUAGCUAGGCAUAGCUCAGGAGCAGCUCACUGUGUGCUAUUAUUCAUCUCAAGUAUUUUUGAAACAGUUUUUUUGUUGUUGUUGUUGUUGUUUUUUAACUGCCUGUCAUUUUGGACACAUCCAGGUCCAUAUUACAAGGUGCUGAGUAACAGCUUAUGAGCCACAUCAAGCAAUGGCUCCGGGGUUUGUUUACCAACAUCCACUAGAGACCCCAGCUUUUCUGUAGAAACAGAAACUGAGCCCAGGCUUAUCCAGGUAUCAAGCUGUCACAUUCCUUGGGGCCUGCAGAGCAAACUGGCCUUUGUGAAGAAUGUUUACCAUGACUGUAAGGCAGCUGUGUUUAGAGAAUCAUUUCAGGAAAGUCUAGAAAUAGCCAGUUAGAUUUCCAUAAUAGAUUCCUAUCUAAUUGUAAGGGAAGAAUAACUGCUCAUCAGUCGCAGCUUUGCAUCCGUCACAGCCUGAAAGAAGACGUGCAGAGAAGCAAGGGAAAAAUUCUUUUACUUUGCCUCCUCAUUGCUUCAGUUCCAUAACUUCAUGUCUGGUGAUCUAGACGGAGGCUUAUUCUUGCUUCAGGACAAAAGCAACUACAGGUCAAGACAUGACGGAAGUACUGUAAGGGAAGAAAAUUAGUCAUCAACUGUUUGUGCAGGGUUUCACUAGGAGGAGCCAUACCGGAGAGCACAACCGUUAAAGGACUGAGAAUGGCACAGAGCCACCCCAGUCCAGGUUGGAAAACACAGGAGAAGAAAAGGAGUGAGUAAUGAGUCAGACUCCCUUUGGGAGCUGCCCAGGGUUCCUGUCAUUGCCGUGUUCCUUCAGGAAGCUCAGAGGUCCCUGUGGGCUUGUGGAGAAGAUGGUUAUGGAUCAGCCUCCAGUUCUGGACUGAUGCAUGCCCCAGAGGAGUAUCUGGCUUGGCAGACUCUUGCAGUCGUAUCUGUUCUGAACUCGUCAGAGGUAGCUCAAAAAGAAAUCCAUGAGGUGGCCCCAACUCUCUGUCCUCUCCUUCAAACCCCUGUUGAAAGACCAUUAAAAAGCUACAUGACACUGAAGCACAGCAUCGGCAUUAAGAACACUGCACGUAUAAGCAUUUAUCCAGCCAGAGAAAAGUAACAUUAACCUGACAGACUGCCUCCAGAAAUAGAAAAAUAUACGUAUGGGAAAGAAAUGCUUCAUUUUUGAUGGUAAAAAUGUAAGUGGACCCUCCUGAAGGGAUGUAAUUAAAAAAUGUAGCAGGAGUAGGGAGGGGAAACAUGGAUGAUGAAAGGCAGUUUUAUCCCAAUAGAAGGCUUCCUUCUACAGCAUUUAUGGGGAGGCUCUGUAGCUGCAGGGAGACUAAAGCAGAAAAGGGUAAUGAGAGAGACAUGAAGACUGGGUAUUAAAUGUGAGAAGAGAGCAGCUGGAUGUGGAAAUGAGGAUAAGGCUUUGAACUGAGCACGUGGGCAAAAGACUGAAGAUAAUCAGCUGCAUUCAGGAGGUGGAGAGCUAGGCUGGGGGACCUAAGGGGGACUGUGACAAGAAAUGCAGACACGAGAGACCAAUGCUUUCAGGUAAGAGGCUGGUAGAGAAAAGGGAAGAUUGGUGACUGGAACUGGCUGGGAAAAUAGAAUGGCAGUUGUCUGAGAGAGAAAGCAGUGCUGGAGAAUAAGGAUACAGAGAUGUAGAAGGAACAGAAAUGGGACAGGUGUGGUUUGAGGUGUGUAAGACAGACUUGGUGUGGAAAAACAUCUGUAAGAGACUGCAGCCGCUUCCCUAGCCAUUCCAGAUAACAAGGCCCCUGUGUCAGGGCACUGCUCCGAUGUCAUCCCACAGCAAAAGUGGCCUCUGGUCCACAGAGGAGUUGGCAACUUUGCAUUGCUAUAAAUUGCCCCAUCAUCUCAGAGGGUAUGAUAAAUGCAUAUGGAGAAGCUAAAAGCUAACCUCACUAGUGUGAGGCAUAGAGGUGUUAAUAUGAUGCCACAUAAUAGAUUUUUUUUUUUCCACUUUGCUUCAUUAAGAACCUAGGAAAUUACCUACAAACACUCUGUUAAAAGAACUCUGUGAGCUGCCAAAACAAACACUCAGAAGUUGGAAAGUGCCAGAGCUGAAGCUGUGUAGCUUUUUCCCCAUUUGCACAUAUUCAUAGGCAACACAUCUUUAUUUGCAGGAAAAGGUACUCUUCUCCCACAGAAACUGUGUCAGUCUGUGCUCAGCCCUGGGUUCUGUCAAGAUGAUUCAGGAUUGUGUAAGAGGUGCCAUAGUCUACCCACACUAUCUAUCCAUUUGCUGUAGGUUCAAUAAGGCUUUUUGAAUACAUUUGAUUAGGGCAAAUCAGCGGGGUAUAUCUUGCUUAAAGCUGUUGAAUACUAAUCUGAAGAACUAGAUACAACCCUGCCUGACUGUGCCACAAAUCUCUUCUACUCCAAUAAUAAGUUCUUACACCAAGUUUUGCACACAUGGUGACUAAUUGCACGUUCCCUGUUACGUGGAUACCUGGCUUAAGACUCCAGGGCCUGAUCUGGAGAAGUGCUGAGCACUCGCAGCUGCAGCAGAACUCAAUGGGAUCUCUGCUCUGAAUAUCUAAAGAAUUACAUAAUGGUAAGUACCCUGACAAAUUAGAACCUGGAGUCUUAAAUAAAGCACCCCAAAUCACUGCACCUCUCAGCUCUUCUGUUACCCAGCUGUAAAAUAGGGAUGAUAAUCAUAAGGGAGAUCUGAAAAUAAAUACACAUUUGUGAACUACUUAGAGACUACAGUCAUUAAGACCAUGGGAAGCUUUGCAAAUUAAAUUAAAAACUCUUUCUUCUGAUCAAGAUCUGUGGCAAAUAGGCUUUUAGGACACAUGUUAAACAUAUGGAGAAAGGAAAAUACUGAACGGCUUUUCAAUAAAUAAAUGCUGCCCAUCCUCAGCGAUGAAGAGGCAGUGAUCCUGUGGGAAAGGCAAGAAGUGGUCAUGUACUCAAGGAUGGCAUCGCAAACAUGCACACAGAGGGAGUGUAUUUAAACUCCAUACUCCUAAAGCUGGCUAUUCGAACUGCUGGACACUUAAUGUCACAAAUUGCUAAUAUGAUUUUUGUGUACUGAGUGAUGGGGAUAAUAGAUGCUUAAGAAUUUUCUUUUCUUUUGAGGGAGAGAUUUUCUGAUUGAAAUCAAGCUAAAUAUUAUAUGUAUGUGCUAUUAGCUGACCCUAAUCCGACUAAAAAAAAAAAAAUGAAAAAAAAAAAAAGUAUGUGUAUAUACUGUUACAAAAACCUAAUAGGAACUGGGUGACUGCCAUAUAUUACCUGGCACACUGAAACUGUAAAGUCUGCUUUCACCAUCAGAGUGUGACUUAUCAUCUGGAAGUGAUUUAGUUGUGUGGUUACCUUUGGAUUGCAGCUCUUUUGGUUCUUUACUAGAAAGCAAAUAAUGAUGGAGAAUAAGACUUUAGCACUAUCAAGUAAACAAAUAAUUGGGCUGGAGAUUUCAAAACCAGAGGUGAGAAGUGAUUUUGAAGCUAUUCAAAACUCUGCAGGUUUUAUCCUCCAUGGUUGUUAUUAAAAGUAGUUAUAAAAUCCAGAUCUCUGCCCUCCCUCACUCCCUAGCCUUCUCUUUCCUUUACUAUGUGGUAUGCAGGGAACAUUGCUUGAAAUAUACUGCUUCUCAGCUCUGCAAAGUCCAUGUCCAGAAAGUCAGUUUGUUUUCUGAAGUAAUUUUCAAUGUAUAGAUCUAUACUUUCC